rnacentral:rRNA from 1 species
AUACGGAGGAUGCGAGCGUUGUCCGGAUUUAUUGGGUUUAAAGGGAGCGUAGGUGGAUUGUUAAGUCAGUUGUGAAAGUUUGCGGCUCAACCGUAAAAUUGCAGUUGAAACUGGGAGUCUUGAGUACAGUAGAGGUGGGCGGAAUUCGUGGUGUAGCGGUGAAAUGCUUAGAUAUCACGAAGAACUCCGAUUGCGAAGGCAGCUCACUAGACUGUUACUGACACUGAUGCUCGAAAGUGUGGGUAUCAAACAGGAUUAGAUACCCUGGUAGUCCACACAGUAAACGAUGAAUACUCGCUGUUUGCGAUAUACAGUAAGCGGCCAAGCGAAAGCAUUAAGUAUUCCACCUGGGGAGUACGCCGGCAACGGUGAAACUCAAAGGAAUUGACGGGG